GAUGAACGCUAGCUACAGGCUUAACACAUGCAAGUCGAGGGGCGAGCAUUUUCUAGUUUUGUCUUGCAAACUAGGAGAUGGCGACCGGCGCACGGGUGAGUAACACGUAUCCAACCUGCCGAUAACUCGGGGAUAGCCUUUCGAAAGAAAGAUUAAUACCCGAUGGUAUAAUCAGACCGCAUGGUCUUGUUAUUAAAGAAUUUCGGUUUAUCGAUGGGGAUGCGUUCCAUUAGGCAGUUGGUGAGGUAA
rnacentral:rRNA from 1 species